UUUCCUUGAGCUUAGUUUGUAGAGCAUUGCACGAACAAUGUAAAGGUUGUGGGUUCACAUCCCAGGGAAAA